AUAUUGCCUAUGAUGGUGUUAAAUAUACUGCGAGGUAUACUAUGAGAAGAUAUUUCGGCUGAGGCAUUGC
rfam:Picea glauca, whole genome shotgun sequence.